AACCUUUAGCCAAACAAAUAUUAAAGGCAACGCCUGCCCAGUGAACAAUUAAACGGCCGCGGUACCCUAACCGUGCAAAGGUAGCGCAAUCACUUGUCUAUUAAUUGUAGACCCGUAUGAAAGGCAAAAUGAGGGCCUAACUGUCUCUUAUAAUAAAUCAAUUAAACUGAUCUCCCAGUCCAAAAGCUGGAAUACCAACAUAAGACCAGAAGACCCUGUGAAGCUUAAACUAAACUAUUAAACCCCUUAAUAAAUACUUUCGGUUGGGGCGACCUUGGAAAAAAAAAGAACUUCCAAACACUACGACACUACCACGUACUAUACAGGCCAACAAGCCAAACAUUGACCCAGCUAAAGCUGACAACUGAACCAAGUUACUCCAGGGAUAACAGCGCUAUCUUCCUCAAGAGCCCAUAUCAAAAGGAAGGUUUACGACCUCGAUGUUGGAUCAGGACAUCCUAAUGGUGCAGCAGCUAUUAAGGGUUCGUUUGUUCAACGAUUAACAGUCCC
rnacentral:rRNA from 1 species